AUGGAAGAUAAAUGGAUAGAGGCAUGGUGGAAGAACAUGAGCAAUGUAAUGUUUGAUGUUGAUGUCAUCAUAGAUCUUGUUAUGGUUCAUUCGGAAAAGCUUUUACUGACACCUAGAUCGGUAUGCUGCAAUCAGUCCAUGGUCUCUUGUUUUGGAAAGCUUUCAUUUGAUCACAGGGUGGCUAGAAGAAUUAAGGACAUAAAUGAAAAGCUUGAUGAGAUAAAAAUGAACACAGAGAUGUUCAACUUGGACAGAACCACACGUCAACAAUUCCAUGUAACAAUUGUUGAUAGAAAGCAGACAUCUCCUGUAGAUGAACUAGAGGUUGUUGGAACAGAAAUCAAACAGGCAGUUGAGGACAUGGUACAAAUGAUUGUCAGUAGCGAACUUGUACUGAAGAACAAUCGUAAUCUUAAAGAACUGGGAUUACGCUGCACAAUGAAGAUGGGAACUCAUGAUAGAACGCGCUAUGAGCAUGACAAGGUUCAGAAAAUUCAGCAAGUCUACGAUAUGCUCAUCCCGUCGCCAAGCCUAGAAUACAUUUUUCUUGUUGGUUUCCUGGGUACUAUAUUCCCAGAAUGGCUACGAUCGAAACCGGAGCUUAACAUGCCAAGCUUGCGUCAGAUGCACCUCGAUGAGUGCAUAUCAUGUUCAGAGCUUCCACCUGCAGGUCAGAUGCCACAACUGCAAUUUCUUAAGAUUAAAGGUGCAGAUGCCAUAGAGUCCAUUGGCGAAGAACUCCUGGGAAAAGGAGUGGGAAUUCCAACCGCCUUUUUCCCAAAGCUUGAAGUGCUUCAGGUCAUUGGCAUGUUCAGUUUGAGAAGUUGGUCCCUCAAAACUGGGAAUUCCAGCGAUAGCUCUCAUCAUAUCUCUCUGAUGCCUUGCCUUAAGCGUCUGUUGCUUCUUGAUUGCCCAAAACUGAGAGCUCUCCAUCAAGACAUGUCCAAGAUUGUUAACUUGAAGAGAAUCCACAUUGAAGGUGCUCACAAGCUGCAAGAAGUUGUUGACCUUCCCGCAGUCGUGUGGCUCAAAGUGAAGAACAACACAUGUUUGAAGACAAUCUCCAAUCUCUGUAAGCUUCAGGACUUGCUUGCCCAGGACUGCCCAGCACUGGAUCAGGCAAAGAACCUAUGCUCAUUGAGACGAUUGUACAUGGUUGACUGCCUGCGCGAGCAAGAGUUCAGGAAGUGCCUCUCAGAAGAACAAGGUGUCCUAGUCCAUGUUGCAACGAUUGGUGCAGAUGGCCGAAAUAUCUUCCCGGAUGAAUCACUCUAUAAUUAG
rnacentral:rRNA from 1 species